GCGUCUGUAGCCUAGUCGGUCAAGGCAGCACUCUAGUAUGCUGUGGUCGUGAGUUCAAAUCUCACCAGACACA
rnacentral:tRNA from 1 species